rnacentral:rRNA from 1 species
GACGAACGCUGGCGGCGUGCUUAACACAUGCAAGUCGAACGGAAAGGCCCUGCUUUUGUGGGGUGCUCGAGUGGCGAACGGGUGAGUAACACGUGAGUAACCUGCCCUUGACUUUGGGAUAACUUCAGGAAACUGGGGCUAAUACCGGAUAGGAGCUCCUGCUGCAUGGUGGGGGUUGGAAAGUUUCGGCGGUUGGGGAUGGACUCGCGGCUUAUCAGCUUGUUGGUGGGGUAGUGGCUUACCAAGGCUUUGACGGGUAGCCGGCCUGAGAGGGUGACCGGCCACAUUGGGACUAAGAUACGGCCCAGACUCCUACGGGAGGCAGCAGUGGGGAAUAUUGCACAAUGGGCGGAAGCCUGAUGCAGCAACGCCGCGUGCGGGAUGACGGCCUUCGGGUUGUAGACCGCUUUCGCCUGUGACGAAGCGUGAGUGACGGUAAUGGGUAAAGAAGCACCGGCUAACUACGUG